rnacentral:rRNA from 1 species
GAUGAACGCUGGCGGCGUGCCUAAUACAUGCAAGUCGAGCGAACGGACGAGAAGCUUGCUUCUCUGAUGUUAGCGCCGGACGGGUGAGUAACACGUGGAUAACCUACCUAUAAGACUGGGAUAACUUCGGGAAACCGUAGCUAAUACCGGAUAAUAUUUUGAACCGCAUGGUUCAAAAGUGAAAGACGGUCUUGCUGUCACUUAUAGAUGGAUCCGCGCUGCAUUAGCUAGUUGGUAAGGUAACGGCUUACCAAGGCAACGAUGCAUAGCCGACCUGAGAGGGUGAUCGGCCACACUGGAACUGAGACACGGUCCAGACUCCUACGGGAGGCAGCAGUAGGGAAUCUUCCGCAAUGGGCGAAAGCCUGACGGAGCAACGCCGCGUGAGUGAUGAAGGUCUUCGGAUCGUAAAACUCUGUUAUUAGGGAAGAACAUAUGUGUAAGUAACUGUGCACAUCUUGACGGUACCUAAUCAGAAAGCCACGGCUAACUACGUG